rnacentral:rRNA from 1 species
AACGAACGCUGGCGGCAGGCUUAACACAUGCAAGUCGAACGGGCGUAGCAAUACGUCAGUGGCAGACGGGUGAGUAACACGUGGGAACGUGCCUUUUGGUUCGGAACAACUCAGGGAAACUUGAGCUAAUACCGGAUGUGCCCUUCGGGGAAAGGAUUUAUCGCCAUUAGAGCGGCCCGCGUCUGAUUAGCUAGUUGGUGAGGUAAGGGCGUCACCAAGGCUUCGAUCAGUAGCUGGUCUGAGAGGAUGAUCAGCCACACCGGGACUGAGACACGGCCCAGACUCCUACGGGAGGCAGCAGUGGGGAAUCUUGCGCAAUGGGCGAAAGCCUGACGCAGCCAUGCCGCGUGAAUGAUGAAGGUCUUAGG